rnacentral:rRNA from 1 species
GACGAACGCUGGCGGCGUGCCUAAUACAUGCAAGUUGAGCGCUGAAGGUUGGUACUUGUACCAACUGGAUGAGCAGCGAACGGGUGAGUAACGCGUGGGUAAUCUGCCUUUGAGCGGGGGACAACAUUUGGAAACGAAUGCUAAUACCGCAUAAAAACUUUAAACACAAGGUUUAAGUUUGAAAGAUGCAAUUGCAUCACUCAAAGAUGAUCCCGCGUUGUAUUAGCUAGUUGGUGAGGUAAAGGCUCACCAAGGCGAUGAUACAUAGCCUACCUGAGAGGGUGAUCGGCCCACUCUGGAAUGAGACCCGGCCCAAACUCCUACGGGAGGCCGCCGUAGGGAAUCUUCGGACAUGGACGAAAGUCUGACCGAGCACCGCCGCGUGAGUGAAGAAGGUUUUCGGAUCGUAAAACUCUGUUGGUAGAGAAGAAAGCUGGUGAGAGUGGAAAGCUCAUCAAGUGACGGUACCUACCCAGAAAGGGACGGCUAACUACGUG